UGGCCCGUACGGGUCGUCUCGUCCACGGCUCUGCGGUCGACGGUGCGCGCGAUUUCGCUCGCAGGAAAGUGUCUAACGUGGGUCUGCCGCUCUCGCAGGUGCCUCCUCGUGCCCCGUCCUGGAGCCGGCAGUGACAGAAGCAGGACUUGGAAACAUCCAAGGCUCCAUGGGUGAAACUUAUCGUCGAGGAGGUGCAAUGUGACAAUCGGCACCAGAAGUCAUGGGGUAGAAGGGUCUUUGACACGUGGCACAUCUGCAACCAGGUCUCUGUGCGGACUGUUCAGAAAUGGGCAUUUGGGGCCUGCACCAGUCUCCUGGAAACAGCUAAGCCAGCCCUUGCAGCAGGUAAGUGCGGGUUUCUGCCUUCAACACACUUGGGGAACACAAUAUUCCAGCAUUUGCCUUGGUUUCUGACUGGAUGUACAUCAUUUGCUUGGGCAGAUCCAUAGGUACCGCCUCCGGUGGCUAUGGCUCUCGCCUCCAAACUACUGGCAGUGUCUUCCAAAAGCCACAGCAUGCCCCAGGGCUAGGCCUGUACCAGUUAGCCAGAUGCACAGACUUGCUGUUGUACCUCUCUGUGCUUGGACUGGCGUUGAGCACGUGGACCUCUGCCAGCUUCAGCACUCUGUACCUUGUUGCCCUCAUGUGGUCAGCAGCAUAAACCUGUGACCCUAAUGAACCUGUCAGCCCCUGAAGGCCAUUGCCCAAACCCCUCAUCUCAUUGCAGUCUGCAGUGGGGCUGCACCAGUAUUUCCCCAUUGCAGUUGGAGAGUUGCAGCGGGGGUGGAGACAAUGCAGAAAUGAUGCUGCAACCUGACCUUCUAUAAAAGUCUUACUCUGUUGCAGUAGGGCCAUGAUUCCAGAUUCAGGCAUAUACAUAUUUAAAGGUGUGAUUCAGGAGGCUAAAAGGUAACCUGCAGCUGAUGGGUAUUGGCAAACACCUGUGUCCUGGUUAGUAGAAGUCUGUCAACACUACAACUCCUUUUCAAGCACAUACAUGUAGCCACGGGACCACUGGACUGAAGUCUGGCUGUGUUUGGAAUGACUGAAUGCUGCCGUGGGGCUUUAAUGAGCUAUAGAAAAGAUUGGAAAGGAAAUAACUCAGGUGGCUAUUUCCUCCUGCCAGCAGACUGUUGUGUAACCUAACCCAGCACACCAGCUGCUCUCCUGGAAACUGUGGUUGAAACUGUCACAACUCAAAGUUGUGAUUUGUUGUUUGUGUGUGCUUCGGCAUCGCUAAAUUAUUUUUCCCGCUAAAUUGCAGCUUCUUUGCGCGGUAGAGCUGUCUGCUGCAGAGGAGAGCUCUGGUGCAACGAAGUAUUUCCCACCAGAUUUGUAGCUUUCUUUGCAUGGUGCAUUUCUUAUUGCAUUUGAGAAGUGCUCAGUGCAAAGAGUUCCCGCCAUUUGUAUUCAGAUUUGCGCCACAUUAUUGGCCAAUUCCGAGUAAAGGCACACGUGGUGGCUAGCUAUUGGCUUGCUAGCCGUACAAAAGGCUUGGGUGGUUUCCGCCCAAGCCGGAGAGAGAGGAAAACUGGAGAGAGAGAGAACUUGCCAGGAGGAGGAGACUUCGCACUGUGUAAAGAUCUCUAAGCAAUGUGGACCCUUACGGACCCAACGCGCCUCUCUUAAGAAUGCAACAGAGGUCUAAAUAGCCUUUGGCCUCUCCCCGUCGCCGAGCACAAUCCUAGACGUAUCCCUUUCCUAUAAACCCAAGCCGGAUCCGCGGAGCCUUAACAACUCCAUGGUAGAGGGAACUGAACCAAACCCGCAGAGCUUUAACAACUCCGGGGAAGAUAAGUACUGUACAAACCCACGGAGAUUCAGCCACUCCGGAGGGAACCAAACCCACGGAGCCUUAACAACUCCGGGGGGAAUCCACGGAGCCUCGACAACUCCGGGGAAAAGAGCUGACGUCGUAAUCCUCCAACGGGGAUUCAAGCAGAGCUGUGCCUGGAAAGCUGUCCAGCCUACACCACUACCAUCUUUUGGUGUAAGUAAGCAAUCUUUUAAUCAACCACUACGCGCCCAUAAUCAAUUCUAGUUCGCCGCGGUCUUCUCCGGCCCCGUGUGCCCAGGCUGCUGGCUGCAGCCCACGUGCGCAAAGACGGGCCCUGGCUCGCCCCCGGUCUGCCCGCACAGAAACUAGACGCAACCUACUUCCAAGAGAAAACUGUCAGAAAGCAGGUGGGCGACUGCAAUAUUGGAGCACAGAUAAAGCAUUUUUUUUUUGAGAGAGAAA